GGCCCAGGCGCGUGGGCGCUGCCGAGAGGCUGGGAGCCCGGGAACCGGUUCCUGGACUUGAGCGGAGCGAGAAAGAGCGCGCCGCCUGCACGACUGGACUGGAGCGGCCGGGUGCCCUGGAGGCCCCUGGGAAUUGCAGUCCUUGCGCAGAUGAGAAAACUCAAGACUCAGAAACAAUAAAGGUUACAGAGAUGAAAUUGACAGAGCCUGAAUUUCACUUCCACCAUUUACAAGAUUUUCCUGUGGUGUGGAACCUCUCAUGAUAAAGCAAAGGAACUAGAAGCUUAUUCCAGUCAAGAUUUCUGAUUUAUCUUGUGGGUUAUGAUUCUGUAUGGUUUCUUUGGUGCUGCAUUAGACCUGAGCUCUGAUUGAAAAUUCUUCCACGCUCGCUACAUUCCAAAACUUUAUCUCCAAUAUGAAUUUCCAGAUGCCUCACAAGGUCUGAGCUCCAUCUGAAGGCUUUCCCAUGCUUGUCACAUUCAUAGGGCUUUUCUCCACUAUGAAUUCUAUGAUGUCGAAUAAAGUGUGAGCUCUGAUUACAAGUCUUUGAACAUUCAUUGCAUUCACAAAGUUUCUUUCCACUGUGAAUUCUUUGAUGCUGAAUAAGU
rnacentral:lncRNA from 10 species